rnacentral:tRNA from 1 species
AAGAAAGUACUGCAGGAACUGCUAACUCCUGCCUACCACGCAUAACAAGCAUGGCUUUCUUA